GGUAAGGGUGAAACGGCGGUGUAAGAGACCACCGGGUGGAUCCGCAAGGGUCGCCGCAGGUAAACCCUAUCUGGAGCAAGAUCAAAUAGGAAGCGAGAGGCGGCCCGCCUCGUUGCCUUCGGGCUGAAAGCUUCGGGUUGAUCGCAUAGGCUGACAUCAGCGAGAUAAAUGAUCAUGGCCUCGCAGUUGCGGGGAACAGAAUUCGGCUUACAACCUCCCGAGCCAC
rnacentral:RNase_P_RNA from 1 species